rnacentral:rRNA from 1 species
AUGAAAAUUAAAGUUUUCGGCUGGCUACUGUUGUCAGAUAGACUCAACACUCGCAAUAUGUUGAAGAGGAGACACUAUAACAUUGGCACAGACUUUGGUUGCCUUCUAUGCACUGCAUGCCAAGAUGAGACUGUGGAACACCUCUUCUUUGAGUGUACCUUCAGCCUUGCAUGCUGGAAUGAACUUCAAAUCAUGGAACAAGCAACUGACAAUCGGCUAGACUGGGUGGACAAGGCCAAAGCCUCCUGGAGCCAACCUUUGUUCAUGGAAAAUUUUCUCUUGGCAUCCUGGAGCAUCUGGAAGGAAAGAAAUAAUAAGCACUUCAGAGGAGUUCUUCCAUCACAAGAUUCUUGGCGUGCAAGACUCAAAGAAGACCUCUCCCUUCUCACUUAUAGAUUGGGAGACAAACAUAAAGACUUCCUUUUUUCCUUUAUCAGUUCACUGUAG